rnacentral:rRNA from 1 species
AUUGAACGCUGGCGGCAGGCCUAACACAUGCAAGUCGAACGAGUGGCGGACGGGUGAGUAAUGUCUGGGAAACUGCCUGAUGGAGGGGGAUAACUACUGGAAACGGUAGCUAAUACCGCAUACCAUCGGAUGUGCCCAGAUGGGAUUAGCUAGUAGGGGGGGUAAAGGCUCACCUGGGCGACGAUCCCUAGCUGGUCUGAGAGGAUGACCAGCACCACCGGAACUGGGGACCGGGCCAGACUCUUACGGGAGGCAGCAGUGGGGAAUAUUGCAAAAUGGGGGCAAGGCUGAUGCAGGCAUGGCGCGUGGAUGAAGAAGGCCUUCGGGUUGUAAAGUACUUUCAGCGGGGAGGCGUUACCCGCAGAAGAAGCACCGGCUAACUCCGUGCCAGCAGCCGCGGUAAUUC